AAAAAAAAAAAAAAAAUGAUUAGUUAUUAGUUAAUAAAUAUACUACCACUAACAAAGUGGGAUAGAUUAUUCAUGUAAAAUAGCAAAUAUAUAGGGCUGAUCCAAAGCUAAAAAUCAACAUUUGAACAUGUAUUAUAUGUCAAUUGCCACAACUUGUCAAAAAGAAAGCAACAAGAUAGACUCCUUGGUAAGAGAAAAUAUGAAUAAUUGUAACCAUUGUUUCAUGUAUAGUGGACACAGCGUGUUAAAAUUAAGAGCACAUAUCACCAAGUGAAGUAAUGAAAUCAUAGAUUUCUUUAGUCUUUUCCGACUCAUCUGAUUUGUCCUUCAAAUACCUGCCACUGUCUUUCCAGGUCGAGCAGGCCCCAGGAGUAU
rnacentral:misc_RNA from 1 species